rnacentral:rRNA from 1 species
UACGUAGGGGGCAAGCGUUGUCCGGAAUCAUUGGGCGUAAAGCGCGCGUAGGCGGCCCGGUAAGUCCGUUGUGAAAGUCAAAGGCUCAACCUUUGAACGCCGAUGGAUACUGCCGGGCUAGAGUCCGGAAGAGGUGAGUGGAACUGCGAGUGUAGAGGUGAAAUUCGUAGAUAUUCGCAAGAACACCAGUGGCGAAGGCGGCUCACUGGCCCGGUACUGACGCUGAGGUGCGAAAGCGUGGGGAGCAAACAGG